CCUACGGGAGGCAGCAGUGGGGAAUAUUGGGCAAUGGAGGAAACUCUGACCCAGCAACGCCGCGUGAAUGAUGAAGGUCUUCGGAUUGUAAAGUUCUUUUCUAAGGGAAGAAGAAAGUGACGGUACCUUAGGAAUAAGCCUCGGCUAACUACGUGCCAGCAGCCGCGGUAAUACGGAGGAGGCGAGCGUUAUCCGGAAUGACUGGGCGUAAAGGGGGCGUAGGUGGGUUGGCAAGUUAGUAGCGUAACUCACAGGCUCAACCUUGGAACUACUACUAAAACUGUUGGACUUGAGUGCAGGAGGGGCAACCGGAAUUCCUAGUGUAGCGGUGGAAUGCGUAGAUAUUAGGAGGAACACCAGUGGCGAAGGCGGGUUGCUAGACUGUAACUGACACUGAGGCACGAAAGCGUGGGGAGCAAACAGGAUUAGAUACCCCGGUAGUC
rnacentral:rRNA from 1 species